CCUGUACUUGGUGUUACUGCGAAGGGGGGACGGAGAAGGCUAUGUUGGCCGGGCGACGGUUGUCCCGGUUUAAGCGUGUAGGCUGGUUUUCCAGGCAAAUCCGGAAAAUCAAGGCUGAGGCGUGAUGACGAGGCACUACGGUGCUGAAGCAACAAAUGCCCUGCUUCCAGGAAAAGCCUCUAAGCAUCAGGUAACAUCAAAUCGUACCCCAAACCGACACAGGUGGUCAGGUAGAGAAUACCAAGGCGCUUGAGAGAACUCGGGUGAAGGAACUAGGCAAAAUGGUGCCGUAACUUCGGGAGAAGGCACGCUGAUAUGUAGGUGAAGUCCCUUGCGGAUGGAGCUGAAAUCAGUCGAAGAUACCAGCUGGCUGCAACUGUUUAUUAAAAACACAGCACUGUGCAAACACGAAAGUGGACGUAUACGGUGUGACGCCUGCCCGGUGCCGGAAGGUUAAUUGAUGGGGUCAGCGCAAGCGAAGCUCUUGAUCGAAGCCCCGGUAAACGGCGGCCGUAACUAUAACGGUCCUAAGGUAGCGAAAUUCCUUGUCGGGUAAGUUCCGACCUGCACGAAUGGCGUAAUGAUGGCCAGGCUGUCUCCACCCGAGACUCAGUGAAAUUGAACUCGCUGUGAAGAUGCAGUGUACCCGCGGCAAGACGGAAAGACCCCGUGAACCUUUACUAUAGCUUGACACUGAACAUUGAGCCUUGAUGUGUAGGAUAGGUGGGAGGCUUUGAAGUGUGGACGCCAGUCUGCAUGGAGCCGGCCUUGAAAUACCACCCUUUAAUGUUUGAUGUUCUAACGUGGACCCGUGAUCCGGGUUGCGGACAGUGUCUGGUGGGUAGUUUGACUGGGGCGGUCUCCUCCUAAAGAGUAACGGAGGAGCACGAAGGUUGGCUAAUCCUGGUCGGACAUCAGGAGGUUAGUGCAAUGGCAUAAGCCAGCUUGACUGCGAGCGUGACGGCGCGAGCAGGUGCGAAAGCAGGUCAUAGUGAUCCGGUGGUUCUGAAUGGAAGGGCCAUCGCUCAACGGAUAAAAGGUACUCCGGGGAUAACAGGCUGAUACCGCCCAAGAGUUCAUAUCGACGGCGGUGUUUGGCACCUCGAUGUCGGCUCAUCACAUCCUGGGGCUGAAGUAGGUCCCAAGGGUAUGGCUGUUCGCCAUUUAAAGUGGUACGCGAGCUGGGUUUAGAACGUCGUGAGACAGUUCGGUCCCUAUCUGCCGUGGGCGCUGGAGAACUGAGGGGGGCUGCUCCUAGUACGAGAGGACCGGAGUGGACGCAUCACUGGUGUUCGGGUUGUCAUGCCAAUGGCACUGCCCGGUAGCUAAAUGCGGAAGAGAUAAGUGCUGAAAGCAUCUAAGCACGAAACUUGCCCCGAGAUGAGUUCUCCCUGACCCUUUAAGGGUCCUGAAGGAACGUUGAAGACGACGACGUUGAUAGGCCGGGUGUGUAAGCGCAGCGAUGCGUUGAGCUAACCGGUACUAAUGAACCGUGAGGCUUAACCUUACAACGCCGAAG
rnacentral:rRNA from 1 species